UGGGAUGUGCUCAGUUGGUAGAGUGCUUGACUAGUACACAGGUAGCCCUGAGUUUAAUCCUCAGUACCCUAU
rnacentral:tRNA from 1 species